AGCAUGGGUAGCGAACAGGAUAGAUACCCGGUAGUCCAUGCCGUAAACGAUGAAUGCUAUGUGUUGGAGGGUUUCCGCCCUUCAGUGCCGCAGCUAACGCAUUAAGCAUUCCGCCUGGGGAGUACGACCGCAAGGUUGAAACUCAAAGGAAUUGACGGGGGCCCGCACAAGCGGUGGAGCAUGUGGUUUAAUUCGAAGCAACGCGAAGAACCUUACCAGGUCUUGACAUCUUUUGAUCACCUGAGAGAUCAGGUUUCCCCUUCGGGGGCAAAAUGACAGGUGGUGCAUGGUUGUCGUCAGCUCGUGUCGUGAGAUGUUGGGUUAAGUCCCGCAACGAGCGCAACCCUUAUGACUAGUUGCCAGCAUUUAGUUGGGCACUCUAGUAAGACUGCCGGUGACAAACCGGAGGAAGGUGGGGAUGACGUCAAAUCAUCAUGCCCCUUAUGACCUGGGCUACACACGUGCUACAAUGGAUGGUACAACGAGUUGCGAGACCGCGAGGUCAAGCUAAUCUCUUAAAGCCAUUCUCAGUUCGGACUGUAGGGCUGCAACUCGCCUACACGAAGGUCGGGAAUCGCUAGUAAUCGCGGGAUCAGCACGCCGCGGGUGAAUACGUUCCCGGGCCUUGUACACACCGCCCGUCACACCAUGAGAGUUUGUAACACCCGAAGCCGGGUGGCGUAACCCUUUU
rnacentral:rRNA from 2 species